rnacentral:rRNA from 1 species
UACGUAGGGUGCAAGCGUUGUCCGGAAUUAUUGGGCGUAAAGAGCUCGUAGGCGGUGUGUCGCGUCGGCCGUGAAAACCUGCAGCUUAACUGUGGGCUUGCGGUCGAUACGGGCAUCACUGGAGUUCGGCAGGGGAGACUGGAAUUCCUGGUGUAGCGGUGAAAUGCGCAGAUAUCAGAAGGAACGCCGGUGGCGAAAGCGACUCUCUGGCUCGUAUCUGACGCUGAAGCGCGAAAGCUUGGGUAGCAAACGGG